CCUACGGGGUGCAGCAGUGGGGAAUAUUGCACAAUGGGGGAAACCCUGAUGCAGCAACGCCGCGUGAGUGAGGAAGUAUUUCGGUAUGUAAAGCUCUAUCAGCAGGGAAUAGAAAAGAAGGUAUCUGAAAAAGAAGCACCGGCUAACUACGUGACAGCAGCCGCGGUAAUAUGUAGGGGGCAAGCGUUAUCCGGAUUUACUGGGUGUAAAGGGAGCGUAGACGGAAAGGCAAGUCCGAAGUGAAAACCCAAGGCUCAACCAUGGGACUGCUUUUGAAACUGUCAAACUAGAGUACGGGAGAGGUAAGAGGAAUGCGUAGUGUAGCGGUGAAAUGCGUAGAUAUUAGGAAGAACACCAGUGGCGAAGGCGUCUUACUGGACCGAAACUGACGUUGAGGCUCGAAAGCGUGGGGAGCGAACAGGAUUAGAUACCCUGGUAGUC
rnacentral:rRNA from 1 species